rnacentral:rRNA from 1 species
CGGACGGGUGAGUAACGCGUGAGAACCUACCUUCAGAAUGGGGACAACAGUUGGAAACGACUGCUAAUACCCGAUGUGCCGAAAGGUGAAAGAUUUAUCGUCUGAAGAUGGGCUCGCGGCUGAUUAGCUAGUUGGUAGUGUAAGGGACUACCAAGGCGACGAUCAGUAGCUGGUCUGAGAGGAUGAGCAGCCACACUGGAACUGAGAGACGGUCCAGACUCCUACGGGAGGCAGCAGUGGGGAAUUUUCCGCAAUGGGCGAAAGCCUGACGGAGCAAUACCGCGUGUGGGAGGAAGGCCCUUGGGUUGUAAACCACUUUUAUCAGGGAAGAAGCUCUGACGGUACCUGAUGAAUAAGCAUCGGCUAACUCCGUGCCAGCAGCCGCGGUAAUACGGAGGAUGCAAGCGUUAUCCGGAAUCAUUGGGCGUAAAGCGUCCGUAGGUGGUUUGUCAAGUCUGUCGUCAAAGAAUGGAGCUUAACUCCAUAAAGGCGGUGGAAACUGAGAGACUAGAGUUCAGUAGGGGUAGCGGGAAUUCCCAGUGUAGCGGUGAAAUGCGUAGAUAUUGGGAAGAACAUCGGUGGCGAAAGCGCGCUACUGGGCCGAAACUGACACUGAGGGACGAAAGCUAGGGUAGCGAAUGGGAUUAGAUACCCCAGUAGUC